GAAGUCCAUUAUCCAGAAUCGUCAGCACGUGGCCAAGCUUAGGCAUCCGGACUGAAAACUGUUUCACUUCCCUUGGAUGGACUUGCUGCUGUUCCAUGACUCUGAUUCUGAGAGGAACAAGCUUAAAACUUAAGGAACAAGUUAGGCAGCUCCACCGUGUCAGUCUUUUACUGUACAAAAUUCAGCAAAGAAGAGAAGAUGGUGGUAGUUGUGUCCCCAACACUUUGUCCACUAGCCCUGAGGGUGCUUACCUGGAAAACUAAAUCCCUCUUCUGCUUGAUUUGGAGCAGGGAUUUUAACCUGAAUUUCUUACAACCCUGGGGAACGCUCUAGUCACCGACCUACUGGACGAAAGGAGUAUACCACCUCAACAUUGUCCUUUGUACAAGAAAAACAAAGAAUAUCCACAAUAUAAACUACUCCUAUAACUGCACAGCGAAAUUCUGUUG